AGAUAGAUUCUCAGAUAUCUUUAAAGAUAAGUUCUUGAUCUGUUUUAAGAAACAGUUGCAUUCUUUCAUGCUCGGUGGCUGUAUUUUGAGGAACGAGGCACUGGGAGUGGCUUUCUAGGGGCUGGGGGCUGAGCAGAGGCCUGGCACCUGCGAAAGCAUCAAAGAACAACUCCCAUUGUGUCGUUUAGGCUAACAAGCAAUAUUUGUUGUCAUUAUUUUCUCUGCUUAACCCAUUUUUAAAAAUGAGCUUUUUUUUUUUUAAAGCAGUUGUGGGUUUGUCGCACAAUUGAGUAGGAGGUACAGAGAUUUUCCAAAAAACUCCCCUGCCCCCACACAUAGCCUCCCUCACUACCAACACCCCCACUAGAGCGGUCCAUUUGUUACCAUCCAUGCACCUAUGUCACCGACACACCCUUGUCACCCAGCAUUCAGAGUUUACGUCAGGGCUCAGCUUUUUACCUGUUAGGAGGGAGUGGCCACCUCCAAGCCCCUUACAUCCUAGGUGGGAAGCUGGAAGCUCUUCUUCACCAACUUUUAAAUUUAAUCGACCUCCUACUCAUACAACUUUUGCUGCAUGGGAGCUUUGGAAGGUUAAAAAAAAAAAAAAAAGAAAAAGAAAGAAAGAAAAAAAGAACUGAUCCCUCCAAAAAGGAACACUGAAGUGCUGAGGUUCCCAGAUGAAAUCACAGCUCACAGCGUCAUCACAGGAAUUUCUGGAUAGAAGCAAGCAAGUGCUUUGGGGGCAACUGAAGUUCAUUCUUUGACCACUGUCUGCUCUCCGCUGUGCCCGUGAGCACAGCUGGCCAAGCCGAUGGCAGAAACGGGCAAGGAUGUCCUGAUCCUCUAGCUUCCGGCGGGGUGUAAGCAACCCCGGCACGUUUAUCCAAAACACGCCCAUCCCGCUGCCCUGCAACGCCUUGUGAAUGAAUCGUGGACCUCCAGCGCCAAUCACUGUUCAGGGGCUUCCUGCCUGCUCUGCGCUGUGCCCUCUGGUGCCUCGGCUUUUGGAGAGAGUUGAAAGACUCUUCACUUAUCACGCACUGGUCCCACAGUAGAGGACCUAGCGAUGGACACGGGACACUGGGCAGGAUUCAAUUAUGUUUCUCAGUUUGAUCGAAUGCUGCUGAGUCAUUUUCUUUCUUUUUUUUUUUUUUUUUGCUUUGUCACCCAGACAGUGGGGUGACCACGACUCACCACAAACCUUGACCACCCAGGCUCAAGCAAAUCUCCCCGUCUAGCCUCCUGAGUAGCCGGGGCAACAGUUGCAUGCUAUCACGCCUGGCUAGUUUUUUAUUUUUUGUUUUUUGUACAGAUGAGGUCUCACUAUGUGGCCCAGGCUGGUGUUGAAAUCCUGGGCUCAAGAAAUCCUCCCACCUCGGCCUCCCAAGUGCUGGGAUUACAGGCAUGAG
rnacentral:lncRNA from 1 species